GUUAGACACGACUAAACGACAAUAGGUCAACUGAACUCUCAGGGGUCCAAAUCUUUCUGAUCACAGCACAGCUUAUAGACAUGUGAGGCCAGUAGCAGCUCCUGGUGUGCUAAGACUAGGUCUUCUCAGAGACAAGUAGCUUGAGAAUACAUCCUAAAAUUGGUGACAAACUCCAUCUAAGACUAAAUACCUGCAUGAGACUGAUAGUAAACAAGUAACAUAAGGGAAAGUUGAAAAGAUCUUUGAAGUGAGUUCAAAAGGACUUUGGUUACUGAGAAUAUUAAAAAUAUAGGGCUCAGAGCAAGAAGAAAACUAGAUUUGUAUCUUGAGUUCCAACACCUACUAGUUACAUUUAACCCCUUACAGCCUCAUUUUCCUCAUCUGAAAAAUGA
rnacentral:ncRNA from 1 species